GUGGGGUAACGGCCUACCAAGGCGAUGACGGGUAGCUGGCGUGAGAGCGUGGCCAGCCACACUGGGACUGAGACACGGCCCAGACUCCUACGGGAGGCAGCAGUGGGGAAUAUUGCGCAAUGGGCGAAAGCCUGACGCAGCGACACCGCGUGGGGGAGGAAGGCCUUAGGGUUGUAAACCCCUGUCAGGUGGGACGAACCCCAUGUCGGCGAAUACUCGGCUCGCCUGACGGUACCGCCAGAGGAAGCUCCGGCUAACUCCGCGCCAGCAGCCGCGGUAAUACGGAGGGAGCAAGCGUUGUUCGGAAUCACUGGGCGUAAAGGGCGCGUAGGCGGUCAUGUAAGUCGGGUGUGAAAUUCCGGGGCUCAACCCCGAAAACUGCCUCCAAUCUGGCAUGACUGAAGAAAGGUAGGGCCAAGUGGAAUUCCCGGUGUACCGUGGGAAUGCGUAAAUAUCGGGAAAAACACCUGUGGCGAAGGCAGCUCGCUGGGCCUUUUCUGACCCUGAGCUGGAAAAGCGUGGGGAGCAAACAGGAUUAAAUACCUGGUAAUCCAACGCCGUAAACAAGGGCCACUAGGGCUGGGGAGGAUUGACUCUCUCAUGGCCGUGGCUAACGCGUUAAGUG
rnacentral:rRNA from 1 species